UACAGAGGUCUCAAGCGUUGUUCGGAUUCAUUGGGCGUAAAGGGUGCGUAGGUGGCGGGGUAAGUCAGGUGUGAAAUCUCGGGGCUCAACCCCGAAACUGCAUUUGAUACUGCCUUGCUCGAGUACUGGAGAGGAGAUUGGAAUUUACGGUGUAGCAGUGAAAUGCGUAGAUAUCGUAAGGAAGACCAGUGGCGAAGGCGAAUCUCUGGACAGUUCCUGACACUGAGACACGAAGGCCAGGGGAGCAAACGGG
rnacentral:rRNA from 1 species